rfam:Nematostella vectensis strain CH2 x CH6 NEMVEscaffold_796_Cont33001, whole genome shotgun sequence.
GCCGAAAUAGCUCAGUUGGGAGAGCGUCAGACUGAAGAUCUGAAGGUCCCUGGAUCAAUCCGGAGAGUUUGUA